rnacentral:lncRNA from 1 species
CCCCCCCAUUGUAACCUCUACUCUGUAAUCCUUUUGCGCUACCGCGGGAAAAUAAAAAUCAAUCCUUACAUUCCCGUAAACUUAGCAUACUCAAAAUUUGUUCCGUAAGCAGUUAAUAAGUUAUUGUAACUCUUGUGUUUACCCUAUAAAUUAAGUUCUCUUAUUGGAUGGUAGAUGGCCAAUCAGCGCUCAGUUAACAAAAUCAUCAACCAAUCACAAGAGGAGGAGAAAUCAGCUGAGAGCAACGCAAACAAGAAACGACCAAAUUUCAGUGAGACGGAAGUAUACGCCAUAGUGUGUGAAGUCGUCAAAAGAAAGAAAAUAAUUUUAGUGAAGUUGGACUCGAGAUGUACAAUCAAAUAUAAGAAUCAUGUCUGAUAAGAAGUAGUAAAAGCAGUGAAUGUUGUUGCUCGUAUCCCCCGCAAUGUUGAUGAAGUCAGGUGGAAGUUUUCCGAGUUACGUGUAAGCGUGAAGAAAAGCAGCACAAGAUAAGAAAUAUACUGGUGGAACAGAUCAUGGGACAACAGACCACGAGUGAAGCUUCUCACAAUACACAACGGUGUUCCUUCAGGUAACAGCUGAUGUACGUGAAGGCCAAUGGAGAAGUGACAGAACCUCGAGCAAGAUUUAACUACCAGCAUGUUACUUCAGCCUCAUCAGUUAAGUUACUUGUACAGUAUAUCUUAGCUAAUAUCUUUAUCCAAUAAACCACUCGACAAUGCUCCUACACUGGGCAGUGGAGGGUGUGUGUGUAUCUUGGCUAUUAUGGUCAUCCCAUAAACUACUCAACACCGUGCUUCUACACUCGGCAGUGGAGGGUGUGUGGGGGGCCUGGCUGACAGUGUGAAGGAGGGCUCGUGAGUACUUAGUGGACAGAUUGGUCUUCGAGUAAAUUUAAUAUUAGUUGUAGUGACAGUAUAAAUAUACAGGAGUAGUAUAUAUAGGAUAUAGUAGUGGUAGUAGUAAUAGUAUAGUAGUAAAUACAGCAAGUAAAGCAAGUUGUUGUGGGUGGGUUUCAACUAACUUUACUAACCUAACUUAACCAGCCUAAGUUAAUUAAACAUAAUAACGUAGAGUGAACCAAAUCCGUAAUAAGGUCACCGCUUGAACUCCUCUCAUAUUUGCUUCAUUAUCGUAAGAUUGACCUCCACAAUCCUCAAAAGAAAUGUUCAGUUGUUUGUCUUCCGAGUAGAAGUCAUGACAAAUUUAGCCCUGUAGACUUCUCUACCUCAAGGAACCCUAAGAAAUGCUCCUUUAUUGAUGACUUGUCUUCAAGAAAGUUGCUCAAAUCAGGGGUAUUUCGAUGCUUUGAUAUCGUCCACGAUUCUUUCAGUAAUUUUUGCACUGAUAAUGUUAAUCAGUUCAUUUUGGAUCAUUUUGGACCAUUGGAUUGACAGUUAAAUUUUUCAGCUGACCCUCUAGAGCCAAAUUGAUUUCAGCUAGAGACUGAAUAAUCGCCAUUAGUCUAGUGAGGACUUGGCGCCACCUGUUCCACUCAGCCAUUAACAUUUCCAUUUCCCGUCUGUCUAUCGUCCUUCCACUUGCAAUGUUGACCUCCAGUUCCUUCUAUGUUGUCAUGUUUUUUAGUGUGUUCUAUGUUACUUUCAUGUGUGCUGAGCAAAUGACUAGUUCUCAGUUGGAGUCAAUUUGUUACCAUUGAAUUUAUUGAGAUAACACAAGUUUGGUGUUAAAUUUUUCAGUGUUGUAUUUUUCAACCUGUUUUUUUUUUAACGGAGAAUUUUAUUACAUAGCGCCUUACCAUUUCUUACAGUGUAGACUGAUAUGCAUUGUUGGUAAAGAGGUUAUAUGUAUUUGAGAACUAAUUCCGGUGUAUUUUCAGCCAUAGUAUUGAGUGGGUUGAGGACUCUGUGGUGAAAUGGACAUCUAAGACAUACAAUCUCUGAAAAUGAAUUGCUGGAAGCACCCUCUGUACAUGUAAGGACCACCAAUUGUGAGUAAAGCACAGAGUAAAUUGUGUAGUGUUAACACAGUGUCAAGAUAAUUGAAAAAGACAGUGAAUUCUUGUGAGUACAGAAAAUCCGCUUUGUGUUAAUCAUCCGUGAAAGCUACAGAGUUAUAUUUUCUUGAGACAUUCUCGUCAAGUAUCAUCAAGUAUUUUAUUUUGAGCAUUGCUAUGAGUACUUUGUGAAUUGAAAGUUUGUAUUGUCCUCUUUAGAGAUACUUAAUUUUCUGAGUGAGUCACCGAUACUACUGCCGAUUAUUUAUUUUGGUGAGUAUCCAUUUAAGAAGUAUCCGAGGCAUUUAUGUGUCAAUGUUUACCCCCUUUGCUCUGGAAGGGUGUUAAUUGAAUUUAUCUUUGGUGGGGUUGUUUUGUAGAAGAUUUGUUGUGACAUCAGCGCACGAUGAUCACAGUAGUUGUGAAUAAGUUACAACUUAUGUGUGAAUUCCGAGAACUUGCCAAAGCCAUGGAGGCCAGCAUUCAUCGGCGGGGAACGCCGAAGGCUCGGAGGGGUAGUGAGAAAAUCAAGUUUAGAGAUUUUCUAUCGGGAUCAGAACCAGAGGAAAGAGAAAGGUUGGCCAGUCCCGGGAACCCAGGGGGAGCUCCUUCGGCUAGGAAACCAAAUAAGUAAGACAGUUUUUAUUUAUAUUUUUCUCUUGAAGGUGGCGGCCCCAAAUUGAAAAUACAUACACUGCAAUUGAAGAAGCAGUUCUUCAACUCUUAGAUCCAGCCUCUAUACAUGGGAUUCCAGGGAUUUUGGAAAGUGAAGAACUUAUUGAUGGUAAUUCACUCAACAUACUUUUCCAACCCUCUGGCUUAUGCUUCCCUAAGUUAGAUAUUGGCUUAGGUAAUGACUUUCAGAGGGGAACCUUUUCUGGAAAAUUAUUAGAAAAGAUUCCCAGAUAACAGAUAAAAAUCCGGAGAUGGGGGAUAUUUCUCUGGGUUCGAGAGUUGAUCUAAUUGGCAAUUUCAGGAGCUACCGAAAACAUUUUUCUAUUACCAUAAACAUUCUGGGGAUGAGGAAUUUUUUCUGGAUAAUCGUCUUGUUACCCAGAAAACUCUCAUUCACGUAAGUGCUCACAGUAUUUGGUGUUUUGCCCCCAAUAGAAUUUGCGUUAACCCCUGGCCUAAUGUUGCCCUGUGACAAGACACACAAGCUAGACUAAGAUAACCUUAUUCUGGGUCACUUCAAAUAAAUUUGUUAUUGAUGGCAUAGCCUUGCCUAACCUAAAUGACAAAUAAUUUCUCUUAAAUUACUGAUUUAGCCUAGAUCAUGGUGUUUUCCUUUCGAUGUCUGGGUAAUUGGGUUCAUAAAAAAACAAAAAAAAAUUAAAUCCUGAAACUAUAUCACAUUAGCCUUAAAGUUUCUAGAAUUAAUACUCACUGACGGCCUGACACUCACCAAUAUUGCCAUGUACUGUACACACUUUCUCUAACAUAACAUAACAUAAUCUAACCUAUGUAAUUAUUCUUCAUGUUCUAACUAAUUUAACUUGGCCCCAAGUUUAAACAUUUAUUUGGCUAAGACUGAAAAAGCUUAAUCAAGUUAAUUGCAAUCCAUAUUUUACACCUAAUAUCAUUGAAUUUGGGCUAGCCUAUGGACAUGUCAUGUUAUCAUAAGCCAUAUAUGUAAGAAAAUAGGCGAAGGCUAUUGGUUGAAUAUUAAAAAAACAAGGCGAACAAUACAAACCUUCUGUUUUGGUAAAAAAUACUUGAAAAGUUUGUAAGAAAAUAAACUGCGACAAAUACAAACACUCAAGCCUCUUAUAUUUGUUUUGAGUAUACCAUCUGUGUUUACUGAUCUGAGACUGUAAGUCCAGUUACGGGGUAUAAUCGGAUACUACUUGUCUUAGGCUCCACCCACCAGGGACUGCCAUACUAUAGUUGAGUGUUACUGAAAUUAUUCAAUAAAUGUAACUUCAUUUUAAUAAACCAUUUUAUAAUUUUAAUAAACUAUUUUAUUUGUA